rnacentral:ncRNA from 13 species
GUAUGGAUUAAAGGUAAAUUAUCUGUCUUCCAAACAGAGGAUAAGGGUUCGAUUCCCUUUACUC